UACGUAGGGGGCUAGCGUUGUCCGGAUUUAUUGGGCGUAAAGAGCGUGUAGGCGGCCAGGUAGGUCUGGUGUGAAAACUCGAGGCUUAACCUCGAGAUGUCAUCGGAAACCAUUUGGCUAGAGUCCGGAAGAGGAGAGUGGAAUUCCUGGUGUAGCGGUGAAAUGCGCAGAUAUCAGGAAGAACACCAAUGGCGAAAGCAGCUCUCUGGGGACGGUACUGACGCUGAGACGCGAAAAGCGUGGGGAGCGAACAGG
rnacentral:rRNA from 1 species